AAGGCCCUAGUAUAAUGCAAUACAUGACCCCGUCAACAUCAAAACACAGACUUGGACCUGUGAGCCUUA
rnacentral:tRNA from 1 species